GGAAUGUGAUUGGACCAAUUAAAAAAAUCAAUAAAAUGGGAAAGUUUGAGGGUGGUCACGUGGGAAUGAAAGGAUGAGAGAGAAACUCAUUUAAUCAUCUUCUUCCUCUCGCAAGAACAGAACCUACCAACCCAGAAAUUACAAAACACAUUGCACAGACCUUGUGUUCGAGUACGAGGGGUCCCCGAAAAUUUUAUAGCAGCGAUUUAGGGUCGCCGAAGGGUCCUGGGACCUUGUCCCUCUGUAGAUCCGCCACUGGAUCAGAGCACUACACCCUGUAUGAGAAGGUAGAGCAAGGCGUCAUCGUUUCUUUACACCGCGCUUUCUGUAAGCCGUUGAAGGAGAUUGUUACCAUCAAAAUCCUUGAUUGCGAUCUGGUAUUUCAAUCUUUUGGUACUAAACCUAUCUAAUUAUCAAUUGGUAGGUAGAGAAGUUCAUGGGGUAUUAUAUGUAGUUUUGGAAGAUACAAACAUUUAGUUUUGGUUUUAUUGAUAUUUCCAUGACCCCAUUGAAAAUUAGCCAAAUUACCAUGUGGAUUUGCUUAGAUUGCCCAAUCCCGAGGUGUUUAUUUCCAUGAUAAUGUCGGUGUUUGAACAUUGUUCUGUGUAUUUUUUCUUUCAACAGAAUAACAUUUUUCAGGAAGCAUAAACAAUGAUUCUCGUCAACCAUCCUACUGUCCUCAAAUCACAUUGUUCCUUUGUUAGUGAUCAUAAUUUGUGGGUUGUCACGCCGUUCAUGGUUGGGGGUUCUUGUCUUCGCAUUUUGAAGGCAACAUAUCCGGAUGGUUUUGAGGAAGAUGUUAUAGCCACUGUAUUACGUGAGAUUUUGAAGGGUUUAGAGUAUCUUCAUCAUCAUGGCCAUAUUCAUCGAGAUGUCAAAGAUGACACCAGAGGUUAUGGAGCAAUUACAUGGUUAUGAUUUCAAGGCAAAUAUUUGGUCUUUUGGUAAAACUAGAUAUUGGAGCUUGCCCAUGGUCACGCUUUUUUUCUCAAAGUAUCCUCCAAUGAAGGUGCAUAUUAAUUGACACUGUAUUCUUUUGUGAACAUGACACACCCCGAUCCGAAUCAGGGCAUGCUGGCCGUCACAUGAGGGUGACGUAGCCAUGUGCACAGUGCAGAAACAAUAAUGAUAAUAGAGAAUACGAAUAAAUAGAAACCAACUCAUAAGAGUACUAGCUA